rnacentral:lncRNA from 1 species
CUUCUCCAUCACCAUCCCCUAUUAGAAAAUCAAGUAGGAUGCAUGCAUAUAUUUCAAAAAUCUUUUCAAGAAUAACAAAAAAUAAAUCAGAUUAAAUCCUUUAACCCCACAUGUAUUAGAUCUCAUCUAAUCCUAUCCAAACCUAAGAAUAAAGACAUGCAUAUAGGGUGCCCCAGUCAGAUAAGGCAAACUGGGUGGGCACCCCUUAGGAUUUUUUAUGCACA